rnacentral:lncRNA from 1 species
ACUGAUGAGAUCUAAUACCACCAAAAGAAAGGGCAUCCUCAAAAGAGUAGAAACUUCCUUCAAAUUAAGCAGAAAUUUUGGAGAAACCACAGCAGGAGGAAUGACGCUGCUUCCACUACAGUAUAUGAGAAAGAAGAUGUUUAUUCCUGUAGUGAAGAUAUAUCACUUAGGACAGCUUUUAACUGAGGACUGUGCCAAAGCUUCCCUGGUACUUUAUGUGAUCCACGCCGGUAAAGCUGAUUCAUGAAGGACUGCACCCCAUGGAGAAGCGACCCAUGGGACAGCAGUUUAGGAAGAGCUGUUGCCUGUGGGAUGGACUGACACUGGAGAGGUCCAUCAAGGCCUGUCUCCCAUGGGACGGACCCCACAGGAGCAGGGGAAGGACUCCUCUCUCUGAGCAGUGGCAGAAACAACAACUGACUGUAACCUCCAUUCCCCAUCUCCUGCACUGCUGAGGGGGAGGAGGGAGAACAUGG